AAGUGACUGUGACUGAGUGGCGGACGGGUGACUAACGCGUGGGUAACCUGCCUCACACAGGGGGACAACAGCCGGAAACGGCUGCUAAUACCGCAUAAGCGCACAGUGCCGCAUGGCACGGUGUGAAAAGAUUCAUCGGUGUGAGAUGGACCCGCGUCUGAUUAGCCAGUUGGCAGGGUAACGGCCUACCAAAGCGACGAUCAGUAGCCGGCUUGAGAGAGUGACCGGCCACAUUGGGACUGAGACACGGCCCAGACUCCUACGGGAGGCAGCAGUGGGGAAUAUUGCACAAUGGGGGAAACCCUGAUGCAGCGACGCCGCGUGAGCGAAGAAGUAUUUCGGUAUGUAAAGCUCUAUCAGCAGGGAAGAUAAUGACGGUACCUGACUAAGAAGCUCCGGCUAAAUACGUGCCAGCAGCCGCGGUAAUACGUAUGGAGCAAGCGUUAUCCGGAUUUACUGGGUGUAAAGGGAGUGUAGACGGCAGGGCAAGUCUGAUGUGAAAACCCGGGGCUCAACCCCGGGACUGCAUUGGAAACUGUCCGGCUGGAGUGCAGGAGAGGUAAGUGGAAUUCCUAGUGUAGCGGUGAAAUGCGUAGAUAUUAGGAGGA
rnacentral:rRNA from 1 species